AUGGCGGCAUCCUCCCCGGCGGCCACGGCCACGACGACCCCUCCUCUCGCCGGGCCGGCGAUCCACCGCGGCCCCGCCGCCGCCCGCCUCCUCUCGGGGUCGCUCUCCCGCCGCUCGCCCCCGGCAUCCACCGCCCAGGCUGUCUCCUCCUCCGCCGCUCCCAAGCCCAGGGGCUUGCUCCUGCCAUGCCGGGCAGCGGAGGGGGCGGCGCCGGCGCGGGCGGAGGCGCCACUGAAGGUGAUGAUCUCCGGGGCGCCCGCGUCGGGAAAGGGGACGCAGUGCCGCAUGAUUGUCGAGAAGUACGGUUUGGUUCAUAUAUCAACUGGGGAUCUUCUACGGGCUGAAGUAUCUUCUGGCACAGAUAUAGGCAAGAAAGCAAAAGAAUAUAUGGACAAUGGCAUGCUUGUCCCGGAUCAAGUUGUGACAGAUAUGGUUGUAUCACGACUAUCACAGCCUGACGUGCGAGAAAGAGGGUGGCUUCUUGAUGGUUACCCAAGGAGUUAUGCUCAAGCACAAAGUCUUGAAAGUAUGAAAAUAAGACCAGAUAUAUUCAUUUUACUGGAAGUUCCUGAUGACAAUCUAAUCGAUAGAUGUGUUGGAAGAAGACUGGAUCCUGUGACGGGCAAAAUUUACCAUGUAAAGAACUUCCCCCCAGAGAAUGAGGAGAUAUCUGCCAGGCUUACUACACGCUCUGAUGAUACAUUUGAAAAGGUUAAAUCACGCCUUGAGACUUACAAACAAAAUUCUGAAGCUGUUAUUCCGACAUACUCAGAUUUGCUUAACCAGAUUGAUGGAAAUCGCCCAGUGGAAGUCAUUUUUCAUGAAAUAGAGUCCAUGUUACAGAAGAUUUGUACGAAUGCUUCAGAAAAAAAGUUGGCCAAGGCAAACGGAAAACCACCAGACACAACAGCUUCGAAAAAGGAGUGGCGUGGAAUUCCAACGAGAUUAAAUAACAUUCCACACUCCAGAGAGAUCAGGAAAUACUUUUACGACGAUGUGAUACAAGCUACAAAGCGUGCUAUUGAAGAUAAAAAGACUCGGUUGCAGAUAGAUAUCAAUAUUCCGGAGCUUAAUCCCGAAAUGGAUGUUUAUCGUAUAGGAACCCUCAUGGAACUUGUAAGAGAUUUAUCUCUUACCUUUGCUGAUGACGGAAAGCGUGUCAAGGUCUGUGUUCAAGGCUCCAUGGGGCAAGGCGCAUUUGCUGGUAUUCCACUUCAGCUUGCUGGAACCAGAAAAAUAUUGGAAUUCAUGGACUGGGGUGACUAUGGAGCAAUGGGCGCCUUCAUCAAUAUUGGAGCAGUAGGUGCUAGUGAGGUUGAUAAAGAAGAUGACAUGUUUGUUCUCAUUGCUCCCCAGAAUGCUGUUGGAAACUGCAUAAUUGAUGAUAUGAGAGCUAUGACUGAUGCUGCUGGUGACAGACCUGUGAUUCUUGUAAAUCCUCGCCUGAAGGAUAUGCCUGCAUCAAGUGGCGUAAUGCAAACAAUGGGAAGAGAUGUGAGGCUUCAGUAUGCUGCAUCAUUUGAGACUUGUUAUUCUUUCCGGCUUCUCUUCUAUGCUGGUACAUUUUAUCCUAUCAUGGGCGCUUUAAGGAUGGCUUAUCCUAAUAAAUACGAGAUUUUUCGAAGGGUUGAUGAACCUAAUGGAGAAAAAUAUGAUUUGCUAGCUGAAUUCACCGGGAAUCCAACGGCUGAUGACAUCACCAAUGCCUUUGUAGGACCAAAAAAGAAAAAGGAAAAUGCGCCCUCUGGAUUCUGGGGUUUCUUGAGCGGUAUAUUGUAA
rnacentral:rRNA from 1 species